AUUGAACGCUGGCGGAAUGCUUUACACAUGCAAGUCGAACGGCAGCACGGGGGCAACCCUGGUGGCGAGUGGCGAACGGGUGAGUAAUACAUCGGAACGUGCCCAGUCGUGGGGGAUAACGUAGCGAAAGUUACGCUAAUACCGCAUACGAUCUACGGAUGAAAGCGGGGGACCGUAAGGCCUCGCGCGAUUGGAGCGGCCGAUGUCAGAUUAGGUAGUUGGUGAGGUAAAGGCUCACCAAGCCGACGAUCUGUAGCUGGUCUGAGAGGACGACCAGCCACACUGGGACUGAGACACGGCCCAGACUCCUACGGGAGGCAGCAGUGGGGAAUUUUGGUCAAUGGGCGCAAGCCUGAUCCAGCCAUUCCGCGUGCAGGACGAAGGCCUUCGGGUUGUAAACUGCUUUUGUACGGAACGAAAAGGCUCUGGUUAAUACCUGGGGCUCAUGGCGGUACCGUAAGAAUAAGCACCGGCUAACUACGUGCCAGCCGCCGCAGUAA
rnacentral:rRNA from 1 species